AUUGAACGCUGGCGGCAGGCCUAACACAUGCAAGUCGAGCGGAUGGAGGGAGCUUGCUCCUGGAUUCAGCGGCGGACGGGUGAGUAAUGCCUAGGAAUCUGCCUGGUAGUGGGGGAUAACGUCCGGAAACGGGCGCUAAUACCGCAUACGUCCUGAGGGAGAAAGUGGGGGAUCUUCGGACCUCACGCUAUCAGAUGAGCCUAGGUCGGAUUAGCUAGUUGGUGGGGUAAAGGCCUACCAAGGCGACGAUCCGUAACUGGUCUGAGAGGAUGAUCAGUCACACUGGAACUGAGACACGGUCCAGACUCCUACGGGAGGCAGCAGUGGGGAAUAUUGGACAAUGGGCGAAAGCCUGAUCCAGCCAUGCCGCGUGUGUGAAGAAGGUCUUCGGAUUGUAAAGCACUUUAAGUUGGGAGGAAGGGCAGUAAGUUAAUACCUUGCUGUUUUGACGUUACCAACAGAAUAGGCACCGGCUAACUUCGUG
rnacentral:rRNA from 1 species